rnacentral:misc_RNA from 1 species
UGGAAAAUGAGGUCUCUUUUUACAAGGAUGACACUAAUUCUCCAUGUGAGGCAGCCUUGAAGAAGAUGGCGAGCUUGUUAGACAAGUCGGAGCGAGCCGUACAACGCUUAAUCACACUUCGGAGUACUGUCAUGCAUUCUUAUCAGGACAUGAAACUCCCAACAACUUGGAUGCUAGACUCCGGAAUCAUGAGUAAGAUAAAGCAAGCUUCUAUGAAUCUGGCCAAGAUGUACAUGAAAAGAGUGAAAACGGAGCUGGAUUCGAUUCGUAGUUCAGAUAAAGAAUCCAACCAGGAAUCUCUUCUACUUCAGGGAAUUCAUUUUGCAUACAGAACUCACCAGUUUGCUGGAGGGCUUGAUUCAGAAACA